rnacentral:rRNA from 1 species
UACGUAGGGUGCGAGCGUUAAUCGGAAUUACUGGGCGUAAAGCGUGCGCAGGCGGUUCGUUGUGUCGGUGGUGAAAUCCCCCGGGCUUAACCUGGGGAAUGGCCAUGGAAACUGGCGAACUGGAGUGCGGCAGAGGGGGGGUGGAAUUCCGCGUGUAGCAGUGAAAUGCGUAGAUAUGCGGAGGAACACCGAUGGCGAAGGCGGUUCUCUGGGCAUGUCCUGACGCUGAGGAGCGAAAGUGUGGGGAGCGAACAGG